rnacentral:rRNA from 1 species
AUGAACGCUGACAGAAUGCUUAACACAUGCAAGUCAACUUGAAUUUGGGUUUUUUAACUUAGAUUUGGGUGGCGGACGGGUGAGUAACGCGUAAAGAACUUGCCUCACAGCUAGGGACAACAUUUGGAAACGAAUGCUAAUACCUGAUAUUAUGAUUAUAAGGCAUCUUAGAAUUAUGAAAGCUAUAUGCGCUGUGAGAGAGCUUUGCGUCCCAUUAGCUAGUUGGAGAGGUAACGGCUCACCAAGGCGAUGAUGGGUAGCCGGCCUGAGAGGGUGAACGGCCACAAGGGGACUGAGACACGGCCCUUACUCCUACGGAGGCAGCAGUGGGGAAUAUUGGACAAUGGACCAAGAGUCUGAUCCAGCAAUUCUGUGUGCACGAUGACGUUUUUCGGAAUGUAAAGUGCUUUCAGUUGGGAAGAAAAAAAUGACGGUACCAACAGAAGAAGUGACGGCUAAAUACGUG